AGUGAACGCUGGCGGCAGGCCUAACACAUGCAAGUCGAACGGCAGCACAGUAAGAGCUCGCUCUUACGGGUGGCGAGUGGCGGACGGGUGAGGAAUACAUCGGCAUCUACUUUUUCGUGGGGGAUAACGUAGGGAAACUUCCGCUAAUACCGCAUACGACCUACGGCUGAAAGCAGGGGAUCUUCGGACCUUGCGCGAUUGAAUGAGCCGAUGUCGGAUUAGCUAGUUGGCGGGGUAAAGGCCCACCAAGGCGACGAUCCGUAGCUGGUCUGAGAGGAUGAUCGGCCACACUGGAACUGAGACACGGUCCAGACUCCUACGGGAGGCAGCAGUGGGGAAUAUUGGACAAUGGGCGCAAGCCUGAUCCAGCCAUACCGCGUGGGUGAAGAAGGCCUUCGGGUUGUAAAGCCCUGUUGUUAGGAAAGAAAAGCAGCAGAUGAAUACCCCGCUGUUCUGACGGUACCCAAAGAGUAAGCACCGGCUAACUUCGUG
rnacentral:rRNA from 1 species